GGGGAAGUUGCAUGUGUGAAUUUUUGGUGCUCAAUAUUUUUAUGUACUCAUUCAUCUAUGCAGGAUUUUUUCUCAAAACUUUUAAAUUGCAUCGGUAUAAAAGCAGCAACACAAUUCAAAUGCAUGUAUUGGGCUACACAAUGCACCAAUCCACACUACGGCAGGAGCGUAUGUCAGGGCAGGAAGCUCUUUUCGAUUAGGGGGGGGGGGCUGAAAGCGAGGGCCGAAAGCCCGAGGAAAUUUUUAAAUUUAGAGUCUCUGAAAUGCCAUUUCCUGGACUUUGUGGAAAAUUUGACAGAAUUCUAAUGGUCAAGAAACAGCGUUUUAGUAUGUCGAAAUUUACAAUUUAGUAGUACUAAAUGGGCGAAGGCGUAUUUAACCAACUAUAUAUUCGAUAAGUUGCAGAAAAGUAUGGGUAAUAUCUUCAUUCUUUGCAGUUCGCAUGUCAUAGAUUAAAUGAUAAAGGUCUGCAUGAUUUUGAAAAAAAUGAUUACUAGCGAAUUAUUGGGGAGCUGCAGCCCCCGGUUGCUACGGCCCUGUAUAUAUGAUGCUUGAUUAACUGGGGGGGGGGGGGGGGGAGUUGAAUAUUUGGAAUCUCUAGAUCGUCGGAAAUGAUACUUUCAGAGUCUUCAUUAAUUUAUUGAUUAUGAUUCUAGAGAUGCUAUGAAAUUAUAUACUCGGAAAAUGUACUUCUCCUCCUGAGAUCUUAUCAUCUGGG